CGAAACUGCGAACGGCUCAUUACAACAGUUAUGAUUGAUGUGAAGGGCAAACACUACACGGCUAACCGUGGAAAACCAAGGCUAAUACGUGCUUACGACCUUCUGGUCAGCGUUUAUUAGAUUGAGAGCCAACAUGAAAAGGUGCUUCACAGUAACCAUGCGGAUCGCAUGCUGUAUAGCGGCGAUGGGUUCAUUCAAGUUUCUGACCUAUCAGCUUUCGACGGUCGGGUAGUGGCCCACCGUGGCAGUGACGGGUAACGGGGAAUUAGGGUUCGAUUCCGGAGAGGGAGCCUGAGAAACGGCUACCACGUCUAAGGAUGGCAGCAGGCGCGUAAAUUACCCAAUCCUGACAUGGGGAGGUAGUGACAAGAAAUAGCAACGCGGGGCAUACGCUUUGCGAUUGCAAUGAGCAGAGUCUAAACAUCUCUGUGAGUAUCUAUUGGAGGGCAAGUCUGGUGCCAGCAGCCGCGGUAAUUCCAGCUCCAAUAGCGUAUAUUAAAAUUGUUGCAGUUAAAACGCUCGUAGU
rnacentral:rRNA from 1 species